UACGUAGGGCGCAAGCGUUGUCCGGAAUUAUUGGGCGUAAAGGGCGCGUAGGCGGCGCGGAUAGUCGGCGGUGAAAGCCCGGAGCUCAACUCCGGGUCGGCCGUCGAUACUUCCGGGCUUGAGCACUGUAGAGGCAGAUGGAAUUCCGGGUGUAGCGGUGGAAUGCGUAGAGAUCCGGAAGAACACCGGUGGCGAAGGCGGUCUGCUGGGCAGUUGCUGACGCUGAUGCGCGACAGCGUGGGGAGCAAACAGG
rnacentral:rRNA from 1 species